rnacentral:rRNA from 1 species
UACGUAGGUGGCAAGCGUUGUCCGGAUUUACUGGGCGUAAAGAGCGCGCAGGCGGUCGAUUUAGUCGCGUGUGAAAGCCCCCGGCUCAACUGGGGAGGGUCACGCGAUACUGAUCGACUCGAAGGCAGGAGAGGGUAGUGGAAUUCCCGGUGUAGUGGUGAAAUGCGUAGAUAUCGGGAGGAACACCAGUGGCGAAGGCGACUACCUGGCCUGUUCUUGACGCUGAGGAGCGAAAGCGUGGGGAGCGAACAGG